rnacentral:rRNA from 1 species
ACGCUCGACACCUACGGGAGGCAGCAGUGGGGAAUAUUGCACAAUGGGGGAAACCCUGAUGCAGCGACGCCGCGUGAGCGAAGAAGUAUUUCGGUAUGUAAAGCUCUAUCAGCAGGGAANAAAAUGACGGUACCUGACUAAGAAGCCCCGGCUAACUACGUGCCAACAGCCGCGGUAAUCUGAGCGGGCUGGCAAGGC